AGCCAGAGAUCUCUCCCCAGCUGAAGAACAAAUAAACUACACUUCCCAGAAGGUCGUGGAACGUGUCACAAUGACUGCCGACACACGGAAGCCCGAAGCAUGUUGGGAAAUGGAGUCCAUGGACUUUAGGCGGCUGGCGUGGGCUUUCACGUGGCUUCAUUGCAUCUUCAUGGCAGCUGCGUGUGGGAAGCUGAGCAAGGACCAUUACUGCCGUCUACAGGGAGGGAAAUUUUGGCUCAGAGGUGAAAUGAUUUGCCGAACCAAAGUGUGGCAUCUGGGCAGAGUAACAUGGAUAUUUUUUACACUAAGGAUAAGAAUUUCAUUUAUGGAUCAGCAGAGGAAGAAACUGACAUACAAUACAAAUACAGAUCUGCCCAAGUCUUGGCCAACUUGGAGUUACUCUGGAAUGUUGCCUACCAGUGUCCUGGGGCAGGCUGCAAUGGUUGGGUCUUUACACCUUCUUCCCCCCAAAUCACUCAGUCACUGCUCAGGGCUGCUGAGGCAGACCCUGAAAGAGCUGACAGUUGCGGUCUGUCUACUGACUCCGAUCUCUGCAUCUGGGCCACAAGUCCUUCCUUGAAGGGGGACCUGAGCAGUAAUCUCCAUGGCUACCAAAGCUUGCAGCAUUAUUCAUUCACUUAUUGAUUAUUUGACAUACUGUGUGCUAGCUGCUGUGUUGACAGCUGGGGGACAGGACAGCAUAAGGGAUGAAGCCGAAGUGGAUCUUCUCAGUGUUAGUCUAGCAGGACAAUUGGCUAAUUAUGGAGCAGGGUGGUGAAUCCAGAGGGCAGUGAAGAGUGCCUACACAGGGUCACUGUUCUAGCUGGGGCGACCGGUGCUAUGGGUCCUUCUCAGUCAAGCUUUGCAAAAGAGAAGUCCCCAUCCUAUUCCUCUAUUCCUAUUUUCUCACCACCCCAGUGCAACCUGAGUCCUCCCUUCUCUCCUUCUGAAACUGCUCUUCAUGAGAAUACUUCCCCAUCCAUCUUCAUCCCCAGUGAGAGUCCAGGUGUAGUCCUGAUGCCUGAAUGUUCUAGCUGUUGUACUAGAUUCUAUUAUCUCUUAGAGUCAGAGGGCACUAAGAGAAGAUGGAGAGAACCACUGGUUUUUCUCUCUUGAGCUAGACAUAAAUAGCUCAGAGGUCAAAGUGGGCAGAUCUAGAGGGAAUUUGUAAGCAGGGAAGGGGGAAGCUAGGUAAGAGGGGACUUUGAGCCCUGGAGAAGCAUUUUGAAAAUGAUUUUGAAAUAUUAUUCUGUAUUGAUCACCUUUUUGUUAUCUUCUGGCCUCUAGCAAAAUUGUGUCUAAUAUUCAGAUGAGUUUACAUUCAGAUAAGCAAACACAGUUCCUGCUUUUCAGCAGCUCUUAGUUUAAUGGGGAAGACAGACAAGUGAAGAGACAAGUUUGUACUUUUUUAAUGAUAAAGUGGGAAUGGAAGCAAGCCCAGGAUGCUGUGGGAGUCCAGGGCAGAAAACAACAGGGGAGACAUAGGGGAAGGUUUCUCAGAGGAGGAAACAUUCAAGGAGGCUUUGGAGAAUGAAUAGAGGAGUUUGUGGGGUCAGUGGUUUUUCAAAGAGUGGUUUUUCAAAGAGGUCUGUGGACUGUUGGGAGUCCUCAAACCUUAGGAGAGAAUUUCCAAGGUCAGACUAGUAUUACAUUGACAGUAUAAAAGCAAAGGUGGGGAAAGAUGCUGAUGCCUCAGUAUGAGUCAGAGCAGUGGUACCAGACUGUACUAGAAGUCAUUGUGUUCUUGCACCAAAAAUGUUUAAAGUUUUAUUGAACCCUUAAGGAAGUUGUAAAAAGUAUUAGCUUCAUUAAAUCUCAACCCUUUUAAGAGUAUAAAUGGGUCCUGAGACCAAAAUAUUUAGAACUACUAGGUAGAGAUUGACACUUCCAAGAGGUAAGAAGGCAUAUAAAAGCACCAAGUUGUGACACUAUUUAUUAUUAUUGAUAUUGCUUUUCUUCUACAGGGUAUCUAUAUUCUGGCCUGAUCAAGAAUUCAGUAUACAUGGGGCAGAAGAGAGAGAAUGAUGUGCCGGCUCCAUGUGGCUUCUCUGGGGAUGUCCUGUGAGCAACCAACCCCAUUGAGCAUCCUUGUGAGGAUGGUGCCAGCUCAGCAAAGCACCACCUUGUAAGUGUUCUCACGACUUCCCUGCUGAUAACCCCUGUCAACCUUCACUCAUGCUUCUUUCCCAAUAAAGCAUCAGCACGUAUGCUUUGCCUCAGGUUGGUUCUGUGUUCUAGGAGAUCUGGGCUAGGAAAGGGGUGUGAUCAGAGAACGGUGUAUCUGAAAUUUAAGUUGUGGUGGGAUUGCGGUUAUUGUAAUGAAAGGUGUAGAACAUAACCACAGAAAGGAAUGGCUUAGACAGAAUGGACAGUAAGUUCAUGGAGAAGAGAAUCCAGGGCACUGGAUAAUCAUCAUAAUCAUAAUCAUCAGUGUGGAUAUGGAAAUCCCCAAGAAUGAUGAAGGAGUGUUGGAGAGAAUGAUUCAGGAGAUAAAAUCUUCAAGUGCUGGGGAGACAGGCAGAAAUGCCCACAUACAGAGGGGCUGUGGAAAGUAUUGUCUUUUCACAUUGUAGAAGAGAGGGCCUUGGGAUUAGCAGUGAGGAACAGGAGAACAUGUAAAUCACCACUGGGCCCAGGGAUACAAGGGCUGUAGGACAGCAAGUAACUACCUCUUGAGAGGAAUUCAAAGAUAACAGUAUCCUCAGACAGGAGUUAUACUGCAGGUGAGAAAAAUGAAGGGAACAUUUGUGAAAGGGGAUGAGGAUACAGAAUACUCUCCUGAUGAAUGACUUGAGCUCCAGGGGCACAGUGGAAAAGUUUCAGGAGAUGGGGAGUUAUGGCAGAUGGGGUUAGAAAAGGUGAUGGACAGCUGAAUGGGAUGACAGCCAGGGGAUGAGGAAGACCAGAAGCCACGUGGCAGGGCUAAUGGCCGUGAGUUAUCCUGAUGAGCCCCAGGCAGCCAGUGAUGGAGCAGCUCAAGUGUUCAGGGGGGGGAAGCAUGAGUUUGUCCCGGGUGCACAUGCCUGGGGUUCCCCCUGAGUCCUGGGAGGGAGGCGAAAGCCCUGCAGGCACUGGGGGGGUCCUGCUCUGAAAGCACAAGGUCCUGCCUUGUGACCUCUGGGGACAGGGAGCCCUCUAGCAGAACAGAAGCAACCUCGUAUCUUCUUUCCAAGACACCAUUAAACUUAGACAAAUCCUCAUAUCCUUUUUUCUUUUCAUUCCUUCACCUACUUUACAUAACUCUUUGAUUCCUUAUCAUCUUAUCAAAAGGAGUCUAUUUUUAAUUUCUUGACAUUUCUUUCAUAACCUACUCUUCCCUUUUCCUGUUACUCUGACUCCUUCUUUUACCUUAACUGACUUUGUACUUCUUCGAGCUUGUUCUGCCUGACACGCUAGCCCCGACUGUUUCUUACUUUUUCAAGCAAUAUGCAAACUUCCUUCCUGCUUUUGACCAACUCUUUGGAAAGACUUGGUGACCUGUACAUAAUAACAUGAAUUUACUGACUUUGUGCAUUUUAUAUCUAUUCAUUAACCUCAAUUCCUUUCCUUCUAAUAGAGUAGAUUUCUUCUCUGCUCAGUGGUGCCCACCUAAUAUUUCCCCACCUUUUGUUUACAUCUUUCCAUCUUCUAUGGCACAUCUACAAAAUUACCCUCCCUUUCUACAACUAUCCCCCACCUUCUCCAAGCAUCCUCCUACCGUUUAUAAAUAUUGCCCAUGUUUGACCUGUGUCUUUCUAGGAUUUUUUUCUCCCCGAGCCUACUCCUACAGUUUAUAUUCUGGGGUAUGACCAAAAUAUCAGUGCAUGACUCACAUACUUUGGGCUGAUCAAUAUAAAGCUUUAAACCAAUAAUAUUGCAAACUAUUGUGCACAUUACCACCACCUUUCAGUUCCCUUUGUGAAAGCUUCCCCCUAAGUAUUUAGAAUUAUUGUGACUCACAGUUCUUUUAACAGACUCAACUAGUUCUGAUUCACUGGGGUCAGAGUUUCCCUCUCUGGGGUUCAUGUAGGUUGCCCUUUGGCCAUUCACUGCUCUGUUUAUAGGCUGGCCUUUCUGACCUUGUCAGUUCUGCACAAGUAUCUUUGAAUGCCCACAUAUUCUUGAAUGAAAGUCAGGAUGCUCCAGGAUCAGUAAGAGAUGCGAUCAUUUUGUUUCUUUCCCAGAAUCUUAGUUGUUCUUCCAGGACAAGGUUAUUAGAGUAAAAAACUGGGCUUGUUUAUUGGAGGGUUUUAUUCCAGGCUGAUCUAGUAACCAGCUGGCCAGAGUACAGACCUAAGAGAUUUGGGUUUUAAAUAGUUGCUUGAGAGACAGAUGCCUGUCUGCUUGGGUUUCUUUGUGUGUGUGUUUUGAGGGGGUGGGAGGGUUGGAGGGCAGAGGGUAAGAGAAGGGGUACAAUGUUCUAUCUACAGAACGUCAAUGUAUUUCCCACUCCUUACGGCCAAGUCUUCCUUCUGCCUGUGGCUGCUCCUGGCAUUUCUCAGUCUUAUGGUUCUCUUGCGUUUUGACUCUAUGAAACUGUCUCCCACCCCUCUUGCACAUUCCAGGCUGCAGCUUCCUGUACCCUGCUUCGUCGGUAACUACAUCUCCACUUCCCUUUUCUUAGAAAUGUGUUGAAAUUGAUCUUACACUGAUAUCCCUCCUCUUGUUCUUUCUUUGCUGUGUGUUUAUAUCUUGUUUUUCCCAACAUGCAAUAGAAAUCACGUACUUAGGUGAGAAAAGAUAGAAACUUGUGUUUUCUAUCUUGAAUCAAAAGUCAGUGGAUGACUCUAUCUUGUAUAAGAACUGGAAGAAAAAAUAUAAAAGGAUUCCAACCAAUAGGUACCACCUGCCUUCUUAGAAGAGAACCCUGUAUGUGCAUCCCUUCAGGGAUAGAUGUGACUCACCAUGGACAUGUUGGUAAGGGUUCUUCUGGGCCAUGGCUCAGCUCUGUAGGCAUCCAUUUUUCCUGUCUGGGGAAACCAUAGAAAAUGGUUGAGAUGAAAGGAUUUUCCUAGUGGAGUGAAUGCAGCGUAAAUCACAUUGACCUGAGAAUGUGACCAGAGCCCAGAUAUUUUACAGGAUCCUCUGUCUUCCACUCCAUACCGCUCUCUGUCCCACCCCACCAAUUUCUAAACAUUCCAGUUGAUUUUACCUCUCACUGCACUCUCUUUCCCAAAGCUUUCCCAUCAUUAGAGGCAAACUUACCAUUCACAGGCUUAUUUCUCUGACGAUUUAGCUGUGAUCUGAUACUCAUUUGUCUCGAUUUAAUUUUGCUUAGAGACACAGUGUAAUAAAUGAGAAUAUACUUCUGACUGUAUCAUGGUGACCACUAUGAAACAACUUUUCAUUCUUGAAACAUUCUGAGCCAAAACAUACUCAUUAUUUAGAUUCUGGACAAUUGCCUCUACAUUAAGGAAGAGGAAAACUAUCUUAAGAGAAGAUUUCCAUACAUAGGAUGAAACUGACUUCACCUUUUAUAAUGCAAACCCUUAAGUUAAGAGGACCACAAACAAAACUUCAUGAAAUAUUCUUACCUUAAGUAAAAUGGAUGUUUGCCCCAGAGAGCUCCUGGUACUUAACCACAGUUACCUGUCACUUUAUGGGUGUUUGCUUGAUAGAGGUUUGCUGGAUCAGUGAGUAUUGGCUAGAACUCUUUAAGUGCCUUUUGCUCAGAUCAGGAUGCGUUCUAGAGAAUAGAACACACUCACUAUGCAGGUAGCAUUAAGUACUGUAAGCUAUAGGGAGAUGGGGGUCUAACAGGCUGAAAAAUAGGGUAAACCUGUUGUUGAAUGUUUGGAAAAAGAAGAGUUUACCUACUUUUCAGAGCUAUCUGAAGCUGACUCUUCUGGUUCUGAAUUCAUUUAAAAGGUCACUGUACAGGAUGUUUACAGAACAUUAUUUAUAACAGUGGAAAACCAGAAACAGCAUGAAUGUCUAACACUAGAAAAACAAUUACUGGAUAGAAUAAUGUACUCUUUUUAAAAAUAGACUUUUAGACCUUACUUUUUAGAAGUUUUAUAUUUACAGAAGAACUGAGAAGACAGUAGAGAGAGUUCCCACACCCAGUUUCCCAUAUGAUUGAUAUCCUCCAUCAGUAUGGUAUAUUUGUCACAAUUAAUGAGUCAAUACUGAUACCUUAUUAUUAACUAAAAGCAAUAUGUUAUUCAGAUUUCCUUAAGUUUUUGCUUGAUGUCCUUUUUCUGUUUCAAAUCCCCAUGCAGAACACCACAAUACAUUGUUGCCAUGUUUCCUUAGGCUCCUUGUAGCUGUCACAGUAGUUAUAAUCUAGUUUUUUAAAUGAUGAAUAUGUAAAAGCCAUGUGAGUGUAUUUAUAUAUGGGAACAAAGACUAAAAAGGGACACAAGGAAAUAAAAAUACCAGUUGGGGUGCUAAGGUUAUGGUUGACAUUUACAUAUUUACAUUCUUUUCUUUUUUAAAAUUACUUUAAAUAUGUGGAUUCAAUUAUAAAGUCUUGAAGUCUUCUCCUUUACUUCUCCCCAUCACAUUUUAUAUAGUUUUGACUCACAGAUAAACAGCCUCUAGACAUCAACUCCAAAAUAGCUGAUGGGGACUCACAGGCAGGCCUCUGGAGGAAGACGAGGUCACAUGCUCUGGACUCAACAAGGCAGUACCUCCCACCCCCGACCCCUGCUGUGCAGAAUGAUUCAUGGACUUCACAUGCCCAGGCUCUGCCUCUCUGCCUGCACUCUGCUAUGCAGAUGAGUGGAAAGGAUGCAGAGAAAAGGGGAGAACAGAGCAGGCACUUGGGAAUUUAAAGUGUUUUGCAGAAAUACUUCCAUUUGUAGAAAUGGAAGGACUUAGUGGCAGAGAAUGGUCAAUGUCCACUAACACCUUUCCACCUCUUCCUGGGGACACACCUGCAGUACACCUUCCAGCUCCUUGAGGCUGGGUGUGGUCACACAAACUGGGGCAGGAGCCAUACAUGCCACUUCAAGCUCUGACCCAUCAAAUAUUCUCAGUUGAGGAAUGCCAGAAACAGAAACAAUCAUUUCACCCAGCCUACCCCUUAGCUGCUCAGCAUACAUGCCUGUCUUCUCAGAUACACAAUCCCAAAUGCCCCCAUGGACAUAAUCCAAACACUACCUCAAACUCAUUAGUGGGUGACAAUCCAGUUACACAUAAUUUCAGCAUCCAGGUUCUCUGGAUAUGGCCGGCCUCGGUCUGGAUACUGUUUUCUUGUGAUCGAACAACCCUUAGACUAAGUACCGUUGGCCCCUACCUCUGCCCAGCAGUCCCCAAAUCUUUAAGUCUGCCACUGGCAACACUUCCUUUCUGCUACUUAUGUCUGUCUUAUCAGGCCUCUUGGGUGACAGAAAUUCAAGGCAUUUGGCAAAGUGAGAUAAUCCUCAGGCCUAAAGAGAAUUAAUUUGUCGCUGUGGGCCAUGGCGUCAGUAGCAUUAAAUCUGGGAUCUGUGGGGCAGUGAUAGUCUGCUGUGUAGUCUGAGAAACAGAGAAAGCUACACUGCUGAGAAAUGAAUGGCGAGAUCAUGUAGAGUUUAUACCUGCAGCUUUCAAAUUCCCCUCCUGAUGUCUGACUGCACUUCCCUCUUGGGUUCUGUGAGAUGCAUUUGUAUUUUUAAACAAUAAACCUCCUCUUUUCUGUUCCUCAA